UCAAGCUACAAAGGGCGCAUGGUGAAUGCCUUGGCAUCAGGAGCCGAUGAAGGACGUGAUAAGCUGCGAUAAGCUUCGGGUAGGCGCACAUAGCCUGAGAUCCGAAGAUCUCCGAAUGAGGAAACUCACAUGGGAAACCCCAUGUAUCAUUAAGUGAAUACAUAGCUUAAUGAAGGUAACCCAGGGAACUGAAACAUCUAAGUACCUGGAGGAAGAGAAAGAAAAAUCGAUUUUCUUAGUAGCGGCGAGCGAAAGGGAAAGAGCCCAAACCGGAAACUUGUUUCCGGGGUUGUGGACAUAGCAUAAAAGUGGAGGCUAUUGUAACUGAAGAGAACUGGAAAGUUCCACCGUAGAAGGUAAUAGUCCUGUAAGUGAAACGAGAAGACCACGAGUUAUGAUCCAGAGUACCACGAGACACGUGAAACCUUGUGGGAAGCAGGGAGGACCACCUCCCAAGGCUAAAUACUACCUGAUGACCGAUAGUGAAGCAGUACCGUGAGGGAAAGGUGAAAAGAACCCCGGGAGGGGAGUGAAAUAGAACCUGAAACCGUGUGCCUACAACCGCUCAGAGCCCCUUAUGAGGGUGAUGAGGUGCUUUUUGUAGAACGAGCCAACGAGUUACGGUAUGUAGCAAGGUUAAGUACUUAAGGUACGGAGCCGAAGGGAAACCGAGUCUGAAUAGGGCGACUAGUUGCAUGCCGUAGACCCGAAACCGGGUGACCUAUCCAUGGCCAGGUUGAAGCGAGGGUAAAACCUCGUGGAGGACCGAACCACGUUGCUGUUGAAAAAGCAUGGGAUGAGCUGUGGAUAGCGGAGAAAUUCCAAUCGAACCCGGAGAUAGCUGGUUCUCUCCGAAAUAGCUUUAGGGCUAGCGUCGAGUAUGAGUAGUGGAGGUAGAGCACUGAAUGGGCUAGGGGGCAUAGCGCUUACCGAACCUUAUCAAACUCCGAAUGCCACAUACUUUGAGCUCGGCAGUCAGACUACGAAUGAUAAGAUCCGUGGUCAAAAGGGAAACAGCCCAGAUCGUCAGCUAAGGUCCCAAAGUGUAAGUUAAGUGGGAAAGGAUGUGAGAUUUCUAAGACAACUAGGAUGUUGGCUUAGAAGCAGCCAUUCAUUAAAAGAGUGCGUAAUAGCUCACUAGUCGAGAGAUCUUGCGCCGAAAAUGUAACGGGGCUAAACUUACCACCGAAGCUACGGGCUUGAACUUAGUUCAAGCGGUAGGAGAGCGUCGUAACCGGGCUGAAGUCGUACCGUAAGGAGCGGUGGACUGGUUACGAGUGAGAAUGUUGGCAUCAGUAGCGAGAUGUGGGUGAGAAUCCCACAGGCCGAAAACCUAAGGUUUCCUCAGGAAGGUUCGUCCGCUGAGGGUUAGUCGGGACCUAAGCCGAGGCCGAAAGGCGUAGGUGAUGGACAACUGGUUGAUAUUCCAGUACCACUACCAUCGUUAUUAUCGAUGGCGUGACGCAGGAGGAUAGUGUGUGCUAGCUAUUGGAUGCUAGUCUAAGCGUUUAGGCAGUGAGAGUAGGCAAAUCCGCUCUCAUAAUGCUGAGGCGUGAUGGGGAAGGUUCCACGGAACCGAAGUACAUGAUUCCACGCUGCCAAGAAAAGCGUCUAGAGAGAGAAGUAGUGCCCGUACCGCAAACCGACACAGGUAGGUGAGGAGAGAAUCCUAAGGCCGGCGGAAGAAUUACAGUUAAGGAACUCGGCAAAUUGACCCCGUAAGUUCGCGAGAAGGGGUGCCUACGAGAGUAGGCCGCAGAGAAUAGGCCCAAGCAACUGUUUAGCAAAAACACAGGUCUCUGCUAAAGCGUAAGCUGAUGUAUAGGGGCUGACGCCUGCCCGGUGCUGGAAGGUUAAGGGGAACACUUAGCGCAAGCGAAGGUGUGAACUUAAGCCCCAGUAAACGGCGGCCGUAACUAUAACGGUCCUAAGGUAGCGAAAUUCCUUGUCAGGUAAGUUCUGACCCGCACGAAUGGCGUAAUGACUUGGGCACUGUCUCAACUGUAAAUCCGGCGAAGUUGUAGUGCGAGUGAAGAUGCUCGCUACCCGCGAUUGGACGGAAAGACCCCGUAGAGCUUUACUGUAGCUUAGCAUUGAGUUUUGGUAUUGUCUGUACAGGAUAGGUGGGAGACUAGGAAACCAGGGCGUCAGCCUUAGUGGAGUCAACCUUGGGAUACCACCCUGACAGUACUGAAAUUCUAACUGGCGGCCAUGAAUCUGGUCACAGGACAUUGUUAGGUGGGCAGUUUGACUGGGGCGGUCGCCUCCUAAAAAGUAACGGAGGCGCCCAAAGGUUCCCUCAGAACGGUCGGAAAUCGUUCGAAGAGUGCAAAGGCAGAAGGGAGCCUGACUGCGACACCCACAAGUGGAGCAGGGACGAAAGUCGGGCUUAGUGAUCCGGUGGUACCUCGUGGGAGGGCCAUCGCUCAACGGAUAAAAGCUACCUCGGGGAUAACAGGCUGAUCUCCCCCAAGAGUCCACAUCGACGGGGAGGUUUGGCACCUCGAUGUCGGCUCGUCGCAUCCUGGGGCUGAAGUAGGUCCCAAGGGUUGGGCUGUUCGCCCAUUAAAGCGGCACGCGAGCUGGGUUCAGAACGUCGUGAGACAGUUCGGUCCCUAUCCGUCGCGGGCGUAGGAAAUUUGAGAGGAGCUGUCCUUAGUACGAGAGGACCGGGAUGGACUGACCUCUGGUGUACCAGUUGUUCCGCCAGGAGCACAGCUGGGUAGCUAAGUCGGGAAUGGAUAAACGCUGAAAGCAUCUAAGCGUGAAGCCAACCUCAAGAUGAGAUUUCCCAUAGCAUAAGCUAGUAAGAUCCCUUGAAGAACACAAGGUUGAUAGGUCGGGGGUGUAAGCAUGGUAACAUGUUCAGCUGACCGAUACUAAUAGAUCGAGGGCUUGACCAA
rnacentral:rRNA from 1 species